rnacentral:misc_RNA from 1 species
UCGUACAACGGAGGUGCCGGGGUUGUCGCUGACUUUUUGAAAGGGUCGUGCACGCCUCGGUGCUCUCACACAUAAUCCAUCACACCCCCUUUGUGCAUCACCGCAUGGGGACCCCUUUUUGGCUAGUUCCGAGGGGGGUUUUCAUGUUUUUACAAAGACACCCUUUUAAUGCAAUGUGUAGAAUGUCUUACUUUUUGCGAUCACACGCAAUCAAUA